rnacentral:rRNA from 1 species
UACGUAGGUGGCGAGCGUUGUCCGGAAUUACUGGGCGUAAAGAGCUCGUAGGUGGUUUGUCGCGUCGUCUGUGAAAUUCCGGGGCUUAACUCCGGGCGUGCAGGCGAUACGGGCAAUGCUUGAGUGCUGUAGGGGAGACUGGAAUUCCUGGUGUAGCGGUGAAAUGCGCAGAUAUCAGGAGGAACACCAAUGGCGAAGGCAGGUCUCUGGGCAGUAACUGACGCUGAGGAGCGAAAGCAUGGGUAGCGAACAGGAUUA